rnacentral:antisense_RNA from 1 species
UGGGCUAAGCCAGAUCAGAAAGGGCCCCGUGCGCAACGUGCUUCACAAUCUCUCAGGCAAAGCGGCCAACGUGGCGCUACUCCGCCUCCCCUGUUCCUUACCGGUGGGGCGGCCGCCAUGUUUCCUGAACACAAAAUGGCGACACGUGAGGAAGACACUUAAAGAUGAAGUGCUUAAUUCAAGGUCACAGAAUGUCGGGGAUGGACCUCCAGAUUUCCUUACUGGUGAGACGUGGUCUUGUAACACAGUGGUUAAGAAUGUGACUUUGGAGCCAGCCUGCUAGGGGCUGAAUUCUGACUCAGCCAUUUAUUAACUGUGUGACCUUAGAUGGAGUCUCACUCUGUAGCCCAAGCUGGAGUGGCGUGAUCUCGACUCACUGCAACCUCCGCCUCCUGGGCUCAAGUGAUUCUCGUGCCUCAGCCUCCUGAGUAGCUGGGACUACAGAGAUGAGAUUUCACCAUAUUACCCAGGCUGUUCUUGAACUCCUAGGCUCAAGUGAUCUGUCUGCCUCGGCCUCCCAAAGUGUUGGGAUUACAGGUCAUAGAAUUUUCCACACUCCUUGACGGAGGUUCUUAACCCUUAUCCAUCAGCAUUCUCAGACAGCACCUCCGGUUAGGGACAGUAUCUGACCGUCCGACAUCCCUGCAGCCCCCAUGCUGUCACACAGACUCAGCCUCAGGUAGAUGGUUUCCGUAGAUGGUGGCUUUCUUUGGACCCUUGAUAUCAACCAGUUACUAUUUGGGGACCAGAUGUGCAGAGGUAAUGAAUACCAGGGAAUCAGGAAACCACUGGAUCAGUUCUUUGAGCCAUAGAACAACACUCAUCCCAGCAGCUGGGAAGCUAUCUGCAAAAGUCCAUCUGCAGAAAGGGCUUCCUGGUCUUGCGUGUGGCUGGGCCAUUUCUCUGGAUGCAGGUUUUUCAUUAUACAGUCUUCUCAAAGGACCACCUGCUCUCAACACC